UACGAAGGGGGCUAGCGUUGUUCGGAAUUACUGGGCGUAAAGGGCGCGUAGGCGGUCCCUCAAGUCAGGCGUGAAAGCCCCGGGCUCAACCUGGGAACCGCGCUUGAGACUGAUGGGCUAGAGUUCGGGAGAGGAUGGUGGAAUUCCCAGUGUAGAGGUGAAAUCCGUAGAUAUUAGGAGGAACACCGGUGGCGAAGGCGGCUACCUGGACCGAUAUUGACGCUGAGACGCGAAAGCGUGGGGAGCAAACAGG
rnacentral:rRNA from 1 species